rnacentral:tRNA from 1 species
UCUCCGGUCCUCUAACUGGUAGGAGAGCGCACUUUGAAUGCGCGAAUGCAGGUUCGAGUCCUGCCCGGAGAUCCA